rnacentral:rRNA from 1 species
GACUACCGGGGUAUCUAAUCCCAUUCGCUCCCCUGGCUUUCGUUCCUCAGUGUCAGUUAUGGCCCAGCUAGUCGCCUACGCCACCGGUGUUCUUCCCAAUAUCUACGCAUUUCACCGCUACACUGGGAAUUCCACUAGCCUCUACCACACUCGAGUCUGCCAGUAUUCAGUGCAGUUUCAGGGUUGAGCCCCAAUCUUUAACACCAAACUUAACAAACCACCUACGAACUCUUUACGCCCAAUAAAUCCGGACAACGCUUGCAUCCUACGUCUUACCGCGGCUGCUGGCACGUAGUUAGCCGAUGCUUCCUCUGCUGGUACCGUCAUUUUUUUCGUUCCAGCUGACAGAGCUUUACACCCCAAGGGGCUUCUUCGCUCACGCGGUGUCGCUACGUCAGGCUUUCGCCCAUUGCGCAAAAUUCCCCACUGCAGCCCCCCGUAGG